rnacentral:rRNA from 1 species
UACGUAGGGGGCAAGCGUUGUCCGGAUUUAUUGGGCGUAAAGAGCGUGUAGGCGGCCAGACAGGUCCGUUGUGAAAACUGGAGGCUCAACCUCCAGACGUCGAUGGAAACCGUCUGGCUAGAGUCCGGAAGAGGAGAGUGGAGUUCCUGGUGUAGCGGUGAAAUGCGCAGAUAUCAGGAAGAACACCCGUGGCGAAAGCGGCUCUCUGGGACGGUACUGACGCUGAGACGCGAAAGCGUGGGGAGCGAACAGG